UUUCUUCGGGGCAGGGUGAAAUUCCCGACCGACGGUGUUGUUGUCUUGUUGAUUGUUACUUGCUUUUAUUUCUCGCUGAUGUUUCGCUAUGUCUGUGAGGAGAAGCAAUUACUAAUCAACUUUAUUUGAAAUGAGAGAGCUAAGUCCGUGAGCGUAAGCUGAUCUGGUGUGAUUCCAGAGCCGACAGUAUAGUCUGGAUGGGAGAAGAA
rnacentral:ncRNA from 1 species